AUUGUCAAUAAAAAUUCAGGUAUUAUGCAUCAUGAAGAGGGAAUCCUGUGAAACUCAGGAACGGACCCGCCGCUGUAACCGGGAAUGAACGCUGUCCAAUGUCACUGUCCUUGACAUUAAUUGUUAAUGGGAUGGGAAGACACAGCAAGUAAGAUGAUCCGGAAGUCAGAAAACCUGCCUGAUAUGGAAUGAAAUA
rnacentral:ncRNA from 2 species